AAAAAUCAGGAACUCUAUGAAUUGGUAACUACUUUAAAAGAUGAUCUUGCUCAAAGUGGACACCAUAUCAAAGAGUUGGAGUCAACAUUGACGAAGACAAAGGCGGAAAAUAAUGAAACAGCUUUGAGGCGGGCUGAAGCGAGGAUCGUGUAUUUAAACAAGAAACUUGGAAUUGGCCCCCAAGGAAAUGAUUCAGGAAACGAUUUCGACGCAGUUACCAAAGAGAAUAUCAGGUUAAAAGAAGCGUUGGAACAUAUCGUACCGACAGAAUUGGGCGGUAAAGAUGUUGUCAUUGUAAGUAUUUGAAAUUAUAAACAAAAUCUACGGAUGUACGAUAUUUGUACGCCGAAAUUAGCUUAUUCUUGGCGUACGCCAAGAAUUUCAGACAAGUACAAAUGUAUGAUCGCGUACACUUCCUACAGCAGAGCUGAACCGUU